rnacentral:rRNA from 1 species
CCAGACUCCUACGGGAGGCAGCAGUGGGGAAUAUUGCACAAUGGGGGAAACCCUGAUGCAGCGACGCCGCGCGAGUGAAGAAGUAUCUCGGUACGUAAAGCUCUAUCAGCAGGGAAGAUAAUGACGGUACCUGACCAAGAAGCCCCGGCUAACUACGUGCCAGCAGCCGCGGUAAUACGUAGGGGGCAAGCGUUAUCCGGAUUUACUGGGUGUAAAGGGAGCGUAGACGGCAGCACAAGUCUGGAGUGAAAUCCCGGGGCUCAACCCCGGGGCUGCAUUGGAAACUGGCAGGCUGGAGUGCCGGAGAGGCAGGCGGAAUUCCUAGUGUAGCGGUGAAAUGCGUAGAUAUUAGGAGGAACACCAGUGGCGAAGGCGGCCUGCUGGACGGUGACUGACGCUGAGGCUCGAAAGCGUGGGGAGCAAACAGGAUUAGAUACCCGGGUAAUG